CACCACACGAGUACAUACGAGUAACAACUGUAACAUACGAGUAACACACAAGUACAUACGAGUACAUACGAGCAACACACGAGUACAUACGAGUAACAUACGAGUGCAUACGAGUAACACACGAGUACAUACGAGUAACAUACGAGUAAAACACAAGUACAUACGAGUACAUACGAGUAGAAUACGAGUACAUACGAGUAAAAUACGACUAGUAAACUUGUUUUUAGUGUUUGUAGAUUGAAUACAGGCAAAAAGAUCGUCUUUUCUGUCGAAAAACGUGGAAUUGGGGAACGGGGAAUGGAGGAACAGGGAAUGGAGG